rnacentral:rRNA from 1 species
GACGAACGCUGGCGGCGUGCCUAAUACAUGCAAGUAGAACGCUGAAGGAGGAGCUUGCUUCUCUGGAUGAGUUGCGAACGGGUGAGUAACGCGUAGGUAACCUGCCUGGUAGCGGGGGAUAACUAUUGGAAACGAUAGCUAAUACCGCAUAAUAGCAGUUGUUGCAUGACAACUGUUUGAAAGGUGCAAUUGCACCACUACCAGAUGGACCUGCGUUGUAUUAGCUAGUUGGUGGGGUAACGGCUCACCAAGGCGACGAUACAUAGCCGACCUGAGAGGGGGGUCGGCCACACUGGGACUGAGACACGGCCCAGACUCCUACGGGAGGCAGCAGUAGGGGAUCUUCGGCAAUGGACGGAAGUCUGACCGAGCAACGCCGCGUGAGUGAAGAAGGUUUUCGGAUCGUAAAGCUCUGUUGUAAGAGAAGAACGAGUGUGAGAGUGGAAAGUUCACACUGUGACGGUAUCUUACCAGAAAGGGACGGCUAACUACGUG